UGAGCUGAACUAAGCUAUCUCAAAAAGUAUCUAGCUAAUUUAUGAUGAGUUACUUAAAAAAAAAAAUCAUGAUGAGUAGGUUUUUUUAAUUAGUGAGAAAAGAUGUUAAAAAGUUGUGUGUGUGGGGGGGAGGGGGGGAACAAUACUGUAUUUCUUAGCGACGUAACCAAGAGUUAACCAUCGCCAACAGAACAAAUUUAUUGUAUUACAGAACCUGAAACCUUAAAACGUGAACUUUGGUACUAGCUCUAUUUAAAGAACACGAAAAGGUU
rnacentral:lncRNA from 1 species